CCCCCCCCCCCCCCCCCCCCCCCCCCCCCCCCCCCCCCCCCCCCCCCCCCCCCCCCCCCCCCCCCCCCCCCCCCCCCCCCCCCGCCCGCCGCAGGCAGGGCAGCAGCGCUGCGCGGAGGAGCGGCCGCUCCACCUGCGCGGAGGGCGCGCGCAGCCCGUCCCCGGAGAGCUCCCACCACCCCUCUGCUCACCCCGGCCUCAUCCCACGGGCAGGGGCGCAGGAGGGCGGCUUCAGCCUAGGUGACCCGGCGGUGUGACCCGCGCAAAACUUCCCGGCGGCGUAGCACGCCUUACUUUGAUGAUGCUGCUCCUCCGUGGGGUGGCCUUGGCCGCCUCCAGCAGGCACGCGUCGGGGUCGGGCGCUGCCGCUGGCCCCAGGCUGCCGCUGGGGAAGCGCUCCGCCGUACCCACGGCCGAAACGCCGCUGCGGCGCUCCCGCCUCCUGCCCCCGGCUGCCGCUGGAGCGUCCAGCGAUGCCGGCUCGGGCUCCUCUUCGGCACGGUAAGCGGCGUCGGGAGGAGCACGGCCCGCCGCCGGCUGCUCUCUGCCGCCGGCAGCCUCUGCCAUCGCCCCGCCGAGCGGUGUCAACUUCUCCGGGGCGCUGAGAAGGGCGGAGAGUCACACGAACGGAGGAAUGGACGGCGUCCCGCGGCGCUCUUCUCACGGCACGGUGGCGGCAGCGCCAGCUUUCCCCAGGGGAGCCAUGUCCCUGCUUCAGGCAGAAGGUGCCCGCGAGGGACUCCGCGGUGCCAGAGGAGCAGGGCGGGGGACACGGGGAGCUCGCAGGAAGUGCAGCCACAGCCCCGCUCUGUUGUGACAGGAGCCGGGCUCGUGUUGACGGGCGGCACUGACGGACGGCAGGCUCGGCCAAUCGGCGGCGCGGCCGCCCCCGCGCGGCCGCCCCCCGGCGGCGCAGCGGCAGCCAAUGGGCUUGGGGAGGGGCGUGCCCGCGGGACUCCUAGACGGGCGGCCGGGGCGGCGCGGGGGGUGGCCGGGGCGGUGUAGGAGGACUUGUAACACCUGGUCGCCCCCGCCGCGACCUUGACCAGGAGGGCCCGUGCUGGACCGUGCUGCCUGUCGAGAGCGUUCGCGUGUCGGGGCGGCUGUGGGAAUGCUUCCCCGCGCGCGUUUCAGGCAGAUUUGGGCUGCUUCUGUGAAGGGUAACAGCAGUGUGCGGAAGAGAUUACUUAGGUUAAACACUCUACAGCCCGCGUUGCCCUCAAGUGGAGGUACCGUGGUAGAAAUAGGGAUGCUGCCAGUGCCGGUCGUGAGGGCUGCGGCUGUAAGGAGCACCUUAAGGCUGCGGACGGCGGGCCAGCAGAGUGGGUGCGAGGCGUAAGGGAGAGCUCGCAGAAGACGGCGAAGACUCACGCUGGGAUUCCUCCGUCUGUCAAAACCCAGAAGCGAAGCAGGCUGUGCGGGGCUGCCCGCCCGCUCCGCUCCGCUCCCGGCCGCCGGCCCGGGGCGGUCCCGCUACCGCCAUGCCCCUCACAGCCCGGCGCUGGCAGGGCCGGCAGCGCCCCCUGGCGCCC
rnacentral:lncRNA from 12 species